GAUGAACGCUGGCGGCGUGCCUAAUACAUGCAAGUUGAGCGAACGGACGAGAAGCUUGCUUCUCUGAUGUUAGCGGCGGACGGGUGAGUAACACGUGGAUAACCUACCUAUAAGACUGGGAUAACUUCGGGAAACCGGAGCUAAUACCGGAUAAUAUUUUGAACCGCAUGGUUCAAAAGUGAAAGACGGUCUUGCUGUCACUUAUAGAUGGAUCCGCGCUGCAUUAGCUAGUUGGUAAGGUAACGGCUUACCAAGGCAACGAUGCAUAGCCGACCUGAGAGGGUGAUCGGCCACACUGGAACUGAGACACGGUCCAGACUCCUACGGGAGGCAGCAGUAGGGAAUCUUCCGCAAUGGGCGAAAGCCUGACGGAGCAACGCCGCGUGAGUGAUGAAGGUCUUCGGAUCGUAAAACUCUGUUAUUAGGGAAGAACAUAUGUGUAAGUAACUGUGCACAUCUUGACGGUACCUCAUCAGAAAGCCACGGCUAACUACGUG
rnacentral:rRNA from 1 species